rnacentral:ncRNA from 1 species
UGAUAGCGUAGAAGCGUGAGGUUGCUGUUCGGGAGAGCAAUCUACCGGCAGGUUUUCCGUGGAGCGAAUGUCAAUUUAGAAAAACUGGCGACAA